rnacentral:rRNA from 2 species
UUAAGUUAGAAAGGGCGCACGGUGAAUGCCUUGGCACUAGGAGCCGAUGAAGGACGGGACUAACACCGAUAUGCUUCGGGGAGCUGUAAGUGAGCUUUGAUCCGGAGAUUUCCGAAUGGGGAAACCCACUGUUCGUAAUGGAACAGUAUCUUUAUCUGAAUACAUAGGAUAUUGAAGGCAGACCCGGGGAACUGAAACAUCUAAGUACCCGGAGGAAGAGAAAGCAAAUGCGAUUUCCUGAGUAGCGGCGAGCGAAACGGAAUUAGCCCAAACCAAGAGGCUUGCCUCUUGGGGUUGUAGGACACUCUAUACGGAGUUACAAAGGAACGAAGUAAAUGAAGCGACCUGGAAAGGUCCGUCGAAGAAGGUAACAACCCUGUAGUUGAAACUUCGUUCCCUCUUGAGUGGAUCCUGAGUACGGCGGAACACGUGAAAUUCCGUCGGAAGCUGGGAGGACCAUCUCCCAAGGCUAAAUACUACCUAGUGACCGAUAGUGAACCAGUACCGUGAGGGAAAGGUGAAAAGCACCCCGGAAGGGGAGUGAAAGAGAUCCUGAAACCGUGUGCCUACAAGUAGUCAGAGCCCGUUAACGGGUGAUGGCGUGCCUUUUGUAGAAUGAACCGGCGAGUUACGAUCCCAUGCAAGGUUAAGCUGAUAAGGCGGAGCCGUAGCGAAAGCGAGUCUGAAUAGGGCGUUUAGUAUGUGGUUGUAGACCCGAAACCAGGUGAUCUACCCAUGUCCAGGGUGAAGUUCAGGUAACACUGAAUGGAGGCCCGAACCCACGCACGUUGAAAAGUGCGGGGAUGAGGUGUGGGUAGCGGAGAAAUUCCAAUCGAACCUGGAGAUAGCUGGUUCUCUCCGAAAUAGCUUUAGGGCUAGCCUCAUGUUGUGAGAGUCUUGGAGGUAGAGCACUGAUUGGACUAGGGGCCCCCAACGGGUUACCGAAUUCAGUCAAACUCCGAAUGCCAAAGACUUAUCCAUGGGAGUCAGACUGCGAGUGAUAAGAUCCGUAGUCAAAAGGGAAACAGCCCAGACCACCAGCUAAGGUCCCCAAGUAUACGUUAAGUGGAAAAGGAUGUGGAGUUGCUUAGACAACCAGGAUGUUGGCUUAGAAGCAGCCACCAUUUAAAGAGUGCGUAAUAGCUCACUGGUCGAGUGACUCUGCGCCGAAAAUGUACCGGGGCUAAACGUAUCACCGAAGCUGUGGAUUGACAUCUUUGAUGUCAGUGGUAGGAGAGCGUUCUAAGUGCUGUGAAGUCAGACCGUAAGGACUGGUGGAGCGCUUAGAAGUGAGAAUGCCGGUAUGAGUAGCGAAAGACAAGUGAGAAUCUUGUCCACCGAAUGCCAAAGGUUUCCUGAGGAAGGCUCGUCCGCUCAGGGUUAGUCGGGACCUAAGCCGAGGCUGAAAAGCGUAGGCGAUGGCCAACAGGUUGAUAUUCCUGUACCACCUCCCCGCCGUUUGAGUAAUGGGGGGACGCAGUAGGAUAGGGUAAGCGCGCUGCUGGAUAUGCGCGUUCAAGCAGUUAGGCUGAUGAGUAGGCAAAUCCGCUCAUCAUAAAGGCUGAGCUGUGAUGACGAGGGAAUUAUAGUACCGAAGUUCCUGAUUCCACACUGCCAAGAAAAGCCUCUAGCGAGGCGGGAGGUGCCCGUACCGCAAACCGACACAGGUAGGCGAGGAGAGAAUCCUAAGGUGAUCGAGAGAACUCUCGUUAAGGAACUCGGCAAAAUGACCCCGUAACUUCGGGAGAAGGGGUGCUCUGGUAGGGUGUAUAGCCCGAGAGAGCCGCAGUGAAUAGGCCCAGGCGACUGUUUAGCAAAAACACAGGUCUCUGCGAAGCCGCAAGGCGAAGUAUAGGGGCUGACGCCUGCCCGGUGCUGGAAGGUUAAGAGGAGGGGUUAUCCUUUGGGAGAAGCUCUGAAUCGAAGCCCCAGUAAACGGCGGCCGUAACUAUAACGGUCCUAAGGUAGCGAAAUUCCUUGUCGGGUAAGUUCCGACCCGCACGAAAGGCGUAACGAUCUGGGCACUGUCUCAACGAGAGACUCGGUGAAAUUAUAGUACCUGUGAAGAUGCAGGUUACCCGCGACAGGACGGAAAGACCCCGUGGAGCUUUACUGUAGCCUGAUAUUGAAUUUUGGUACAGCUUGUACAGGAUAGGUAGGAGCCUGAGAAGCCGGAGCGCUAGCUUCGGUGGAGGCGUCGGUGGGAUACUACCCUGGCUGUAUUGAAAUUCUAACCCGCGGCCCUGAUCGGGCCGGGAGACAGUGUCAGGUGGGCAGUUUGACUGGGGCGGUCGCCUCCUAAAAUGUAACGGAGGCGCCCAAAGGUUCCCUCAGAAUGGUUGGAAAUCAUUCGUAGAGUGUAAAGGCACAAGGGAGCUUGACUGCGAGACCUACAAGUCGAGCAGGGACGAAAGUCGGGCUUAGUGAUCCGGUGGUUCCGCAUGGAAGGGCCAUCGCUCAACGGAUAAAAGCUACCCCGGGGAUAACAGGCUUAUCUCCCCCAAGAGUCCACAUCGACGGGGAGGUUUGGCACCUCGAUGUCGGCUCAUCGCAUCCUGGGGCUGUAGUCGGUCCCAAGGGUUGGGCUGUUCGCCCAUUAAAGCGGUACGCGAGCUGGGUUCAGAACGUCGUGAGACAGUUCGGUCCCUAUCCGUCGUGGGCGUAGGAAAUUUGAGAGGAGCUGUCCUUAGUACGAGAGGACCGGGAUGGACACACCGCUGGUGUACCAGUUGUCUUGCCAAAGGCAUCGCUGGGUAGCUAUGUGUGGACGGGAUAAGUGCUGAAAGCAUCUAAGCAUGAAGCCCCCCUCAAGAUGAGAUUUCCCAUAGCGCAAGCUAGUAAGAUCCCUGAAAGAUGAUCAGGUUGAUAGGUCAGAGGUGGAAGCGUGGCGACAUGUGUAGCUGACUGAUACUAAUCGAUCGAGGACUUAACCAG